rnacentral:rRNA from 1 species
AGGAAUAUUGGUCAAUGGACGAGAGUCUGAACCAGCCAAGNUAGCGUGCAGGAUGACGGCCCUAUGGGUUGUAAACUGCUUUUAUCGGGGGAUAAAGUGAGGGACGCGUCCCUUUUUGUAGGUACCCGAUGAAUAAGGACCGGCUAAUUCCGUGCCAGCAGCCGCGGUAAU